rnacentral:rRNA from 1 species
UACGUAGGUGACAAGCGUUGUCCGGAUUUACUGGGCGUAAAGAGCGCGCAGGCGGUCGUUCAAGUCGAGUGUGAAAGCCCCCGGCUCAACUGGGGAGGGUCACUCGAUACUGAUCGACUCGAAGGCAGGAGAGGGUAGUGGAAUUCCCGGUGUAGUGGUGAAAUGCGUAGAUAUCGGGAGGAACACCAGUGGCGAAGGCGACUACCUGGCCUGUUCUUGACGCUGAGGCGCGAAAGCCAGGGGAGCGAACGGG